AGUCGAGCGAACAGACGAGGAGCUUGCUCCUCUGACGUUAGCGGCGGACGGGUGAGUAACACGUGGAUAACCUACCUAUAAGACUGGGAUAACUUCGGGAAACCGGAGCUAAUGCCGGAUAAUAUAUUGAACCGCACGGUUCAAUAAUGAAAGACGGUUUUGCUGUCACUUAUAGAUGGAUCCGCGCCGCAUUAGCUAGUUGGUAAGGUAACGGCUUACCAAGGCAACGAUGCGUAGCCGACCUGAGAGGGUGAUCGGCCACACUGGAACUGAGACACGGUCCAGACUCCUACGGGAGGCAGCAGUAGGGAAUCUUCCGCAAUGGGCGAAAGCCUGACGGAGCAACGCCGCGUGAGUGAUGAAGGUCUUCGGAUCGUAAAACUCUGUUAUUAGGGAAGAACAAAUGUGUAAGUAACUAUGCACGUCUUGACGGUACCUAAUCAGAAAGCCACGGCUAACUACGUGCCAGCAGCCGCGGUAAUACGUAGGUGGCAAGCGUUAUCCGGAAUUAUUGGGCGUAAAGCGCGCGUAGGCGGUUUUUUAAGUCUGAUGUGAAAGCCCACGGCUCAACCGUGGAGGGUCAUUGGAAACUGGAAAACUUGAGUGCAGAAGAGGAAAGUGGAAUUCCAUGUGUAGCGGUGAAAUGCGCAGAGAUAUGGAGGAACACCAGUGGCGAAGGCGACUUUCUGGUCUGUAACUGACGC
rnacentral:rRNA from 1 species